rnacentral:rRNA from 1 species
AACGAACGCUGGCGGCAGGCCUAACACAUGCAAGUCGAACGCCCUGGCAACAGGGAGUGGCAGACGGGUGAGUAACGCGUGGGAACGUGCCCUUCGGUUCGGAAUAACUCAGGGAAACUUGAGCUAAUACCGAAUACGUGCGAGAGCAGAAAGAUUUAUCGCCGAAGGAUCGGCCCGCGUCCGAUUAGCUAGUUGGUGAGGUAAUGGCUCACCAAGGCGACGAUCGGUAGCUGGUCUGAGAGGAUGAUCAGCCACACUGGGGCUGAGACACGGCCCAGACUCCUACGGGAGGCAGGAGUGGGGAAUCUUGGACGAUGGCCGCAAUCCUGAUCCAGCGCUGCCGCGUGAGUGAUUAAGGCCCUGGGGUUGUAAAGCUCUUUCGCCAGGGACGAUAAUGACGGUACCUGGAUAAGAAGCCCCGGCUAACUUCGUGCCAGCAGCCGCCGUAA